rnacentral:piRNA from 1 species
CGGGGUUAUGUUAAAAUUAGUAUGUCC